AGAGUUUGAUCCUGGCUCAGAACGAACGCUGGCGGCGUACUUAACACAUGCAAGUCGGACGAGAAAGGAGACUUCGGUCUCUGAGUACAGUGGCGCACGGGUGCGUAACACGUAAGUAAUCUACCCCGAACCCUGGGAUAACCCUCCGAAAGGAGGGCUAAUACUGGAUAGGGUCCCCGAGGUAUAGGACGCGGGGGGAAAACGGGCCUCUGUUUCAUGCUCGUAGUUCGGGAUGAGCUUGCGGCCCAUUAGCUAGUUGGUAAGGUAAUGGCCUACCAAGGCAACGAUGGGUAGCUGGUCUGAGAGGAUGAUCAGCCACACUGGCACUGAGACACGGGCCAGACUCCUACGGGAGGCAGCAGUGGGGAAUUUUGCGCAAUGGGCGAAAGCCUGACGCAGUAACGCCGCAUGGAGGAUGAAGGCCUUCGGGUUGUAAACUCCUGUCAGGAGGAACGACGGGGAAAGGGUGAUAAAUCCUUUCCUCCAGACGGUACCUCCAAAGGAAGCCCCGGCUAAUUCCGUGCCAGCAGCCGCGGUAAU
rnacentral:rRNA from 1 species